rnacentral:lncRNA from 1 species
CUAAGUUUGUAGCUUAGUUUAUAACAUAAUCCAUGUUUCUAUUGAAAAUGGAAUCAUAUCAUUAAAAUCUGAUUUGAUAAAAUGCUCAAAAACUACGCAAUAUAUACUGUAUUUUAAGUCGGGUGAAUUUAGUCGACGAGAAUGUUUUUUCUUAGAUGAAUGAUAACAUAAAGCUUUCUGUUAAAUUAUUUAUGACGUUCUUGACCAUAACAAAUUAUCUUAUUUUUCUAUAUUAAAAAAAAAAAGGGCAAAUCUCUAAAAUAGCACAUUUCUAAGUUUAUAUCACAAAAAU